rnacentral:rRNA from 1 species
AGAGUUUGAUCCUGGCUCAGGAUGAACGCUGGCGGGGUGCCUAACACAUGCAAGUCGUGCGGCAGCAUGCUCAGCACUUAUUCUUUGACCGAGUCAGGUCGUUGAAAUUUAUUUAUAAAUUUUCAACAUCGUUAUCCGAAGGGCGAACGAUGUCGACCUGAAUCACAUAUGUCGAAGAAUGGGUGCUGAGUGAUGGCGAGCGGCGGACGGCUGAGUAACGCGUGGGAAUCUGCCCUAAAGUGAGGAAUAACCUCGAGAAAUCGAGGCUAAUGCCGCAUAUGGUCUUCGGAUUAGAGCCGCAAGGCGCUUUAGGAGGAGCCCGCGUUCGAUUAGCUUGUUGGUGAGGUAAUGGCUCACCAAGGCUACGAUCGAUAGCUGGUCUGAGAGGAUGAUCAGCCAGACUGGAACUGAGACACGGUCCAGACUCCUACGGGAGGCAGCAGUGAGGAAUAUUCCACAAUGGGCGAAAGCCUGAUGGAGCAACGCCGCGUGCAGGAUGAAGGCCUUCGGGUCGUAAACUGCUUUUCUCUGUGGCGAAUAUGACGGUAGCAGAAGAAUAAGGGUCGGCUAACUACGUGCCAGCAGCCGCGGUCAUACGUAGGACCCGAGCGUUAUCCGGAAUGACUGGGCGUAAAGAGUUGCGUAGGUGGCAUGGUAAGCGAAUAGUGAAAUCAAGUGGCUCAACCAUUUGGCUAUUAUUCGAACUGCCAAGCUUGAGAAUGAGAGAGGUAACUGGAAUUCCCGGUGUAGGAGUGAAAUCCGUAGAUAUCGGGAGGAACACCAAUGGCGUAGGCAGGUUACUGGCUCAUUUCUGACACUAAGGCACGAAAGCGUGGGGAGCGAACCGGAUUAGAUACCCGGGUAGUCCACGCCGUAAACGAUGGAUGCUAGCUGUUGGGGGUAUCGACCCUCCCAGUAGCGAAGCUAACGCGUUAAGCAUCCCGCCUGGGGAGUACGGUCGCAAGAUUAAAACUCAAAUGAAUUGACGG